rfam:TPA: Bos taurus chromosome 18, whole genome shotgun sequence.
UCCCGGGUUGUCCAAUGGCUAAGCCUCUGAGCUCCCAAUGCAGCAGGCCCAGGUUCAAUCCCUGGCCAGGGAA